CUGAGUUUCUUGCUCUUGCUCACGGCUCAAAGUCUCCAAGCUGGGGAGGAGUCUCUGUGAGGAUGGUAGAUUUCGCAAACCCUGGCUUGGACAAGAGAGCUGAAGAAGAAUCUGGGGGAUGUGUGAUACUUUGCACAGAUUUUAUCUCCUCAGAAUUCCAGAGCAUAAGACAAACGGUCUCAUGUCCGGCUAGGAGGUGUAAUUCAUUCUCUCAGGUGAGCGCACAGCCUGGGGGCAAGGUUGGGAGAAGAGAGGAGGAUGGUUUGGAGCACGUGGAACAUGCAGACUUGGGGGCCAGACAAGCGUAUGGCCUGACAGACAGGGAAGACUUCCCGGAGGAAGUAACAUUUGAGCUGGACCUUGAGGGAUGAACAGUGAAAACCAUUUCCUCCUCAUCGUGGACUCCAUCCAGAGGCUGCGCCCAUCUCUCCCACGUCAACAGUGCUGUGUCCUUGGCGGAGGACAGUGCGCUCAUUCUGGGCCUUUCCCUACUUCCUCGGCCAAACCCCUGCUCCUGCACCUCCGGGCAGCUAAUAAAAAGGCUGAGUUCCCCGCUGCAGGGAGAGCCCCCGCCAGCUGUCAUUCUCAGGGAUGAGUGAAUCUGCAGCUUUCCUUGCCUCCCUUACUUGUAGCCAGCUCUGUCCCAGGCCUCAGGUGGCAGAAUCCAGCCACGACCAACUUCCAGAGCCCAACAGUCCUGAGUGAACCUGCAGACAUGCAAGGGCUGGGUGCUUCCUGAGUAAAGAAAAGUCUUCUCGUGAGAAGGCAUGAGUUGAUUUGGGACAAAAAGCACUUGUUGGCCCAGGAGGGCGGGAUGCGGGGGGAGCCCCAUGCUGAACGGAGGUGGGUGGACGUAUUUCCUUGGCUCACAGAGCCUCUUGUUGGAUGGGACCAGCCACUCCAGCCAGUAGCCACCUGGCCCAGCUCUGGGAGAUGUGGAGAAUGAAUUUCACAGUGAUUUCCACAGGGCCAUGGCACUGAAACAGCUGCAGGAGAGGACACAGCUGGCCCCCACCCCUUUCUACAGAGCUGCUCUGGAGGAAUGCCACCCUCCCCAUGGGAAGCGAGAGGGUCCUGUUUGCUGUGGUUCCAGGGGCCAUGUGAAGGUACCUCUAAGUUAGACCCCCAUUUUUGAGGGCACUGGUUGGCCUUUAUUAAAAUAAAACCCCACCAUAACUUAUUCCAGAGGCUCCCAAACCUGGCUAAACACCAGAAUCACCCAGGAUAUUUAUUAA